CCCAAAGAACAGCACAUUUCAGGGCUUUACGAUAGUUCCCCAACCCAACCAAGAACAGCAGCAGGUGCCUUCUCUCAUCUCUGGCCCACUUUGGGUCUUGAUUUGCCCCUCAGUAGUGUCAGGCUAGCUAGGAGCAGAGAAACCCAUCAACAGAGAUGGACGCUAUCCCAUGACCGCUUGGACACCCAAGGACUGGCCCAGGUUAGCUAAAGGGAGCGUCCACAGGAAAGGAAUCACGGUCCCUUGAGGGCACACCCUCCAUUCUUCCAUGCUUUGCUCCAGCUUCAUAAUGAAGCAGCAGCUCUCCUGGCAGUGUCAGCGCCUCUGCUUACGCCUUGGAUCCAUGCUUUCUCCAGUCGUGGCCCUUCCGCCUCCCAAGCCUUCACUGCUGCUUAAGAGCAGCCACUCGGCUACAAACCUGGUAGUUGGAAAACACGGGCUGCCCCUGCCGCUCCUUUGGGACAGAUCAGGACACAUGUGUGGUCUGGCCGGACCGUGCUUGCGUCUCCUGGUUUCCGCACUCUGUCCUGCCUCCGCCCUAGAACCCCGGUGCCCCUCCGACAUGGCUGCUGUUCGCCCCAUGGCUUUGUGUCUGGUGGAUAGUCUUCGAGGACCAAGAUGGCCUCGCUCUCGUGCCCGCAGGGAUCCUGAAAGCGGAAUGGGCCGGAACUGGACAAGAUCCGUCCCACAGAGGGGCUGGCUCACGCCCACCACAUAGGAAAUAAACGGAGAGCCAAAAGGAACA
rnacentral:lncRNA from 1 species